GGACAUCCCUCUUCUCCAGCAUUACCUGGGGCUCCCACAACAUCCCCACCUGGGGCAUGGAGGUCUGAGCGUUCCCUGAUGAUGUAUUACUCAGGCUGUAUUAUGAGAGGAGGAAUGAGGACAUUGGAAGGAUUAUUCUAAAAUCUCUAUUGAACUAAAUGCUACUCAUCUUGAUCUCCAGGCAGCUCUCACUGAUGUUGAAAAGAAAGACAUUUGCAGAUCUGGAGCUAUGGCUUAUCUUCAAGAUAAAAAGAUAUAAAAAUGAAGAAUUAAACAGUUAACAAAUGACUAGCUCUCUACCCUCAACAGCCCCCUUAAGCAAUCCUGCAGGUAGAUCACGCAGGCAAGAUCACAUCUGAAGAAAGUCAGCCAGUCUACCUAAUGGAGGAUGAUGCAGAACCCAACCUCCUGCCUCGAUGGUUCACUGAGAUUCUUCCCCUUUUUCCCCUUUAAAAACUGUCACAGCUGAGCAGAAUCUUUAAAGUUGGCCUCUGGACGUGAGUCCAACUUCUCCCCAGA